rnacentral:rRNA from 1 species
CUCAAAGGUUCUCUCAGUACGGUCGGAAAUCGUACGUAGAGUGUAAAGGCAAAAGAGAGCUUGAUUGCAAGACAUACAGGUCGAGCAAGGAUGAAAAUCGGACUUAGUGAUCCGGUGGUUCUGCGUGGAAGGGCCAUCGCUCAACGGAUAAAAGCUACCCUGGGGAUAACAGGCUUAUCUCCCCCAAGAGUCCACAUCGACGGGGAGGUUUGGCACCUCGAUGUCGGCUCAUCACAUCCUGGGGCUGUAGUAGGUCCCAAGGGUUGGGCUGUUCGCCCAUUAAAGUGGUACGCGAGCUGGGUUCAGAACGUCGUGAGACAGUUCGGUCCCUAUCCGUCGCAGGCGUAGGAAAUUUGAGAAGACCUGUCCUUAGUACGAGAGGACCGGGAUGGACGUAUCUCUGGUGUACCAGUUGUCCUGCCAAGGGCAUGGCUGGGUAGCUAUGUACGGAAUGGAUAAGCGCUGAAAGCAUCUAAGCGCGAAGCCAACUUCAAGAUAAGAUUUCCCACCGCAAGGGUAAGACCCCAGAAAGACUAUCUGGUUGAUAGGUCGAAGGUGUAAGUGCAGCAAUGUAUUUAGCUUAUCGAUACUAAUAGGUCGAGGACUUGACCAAU